GUGCUAAGGUAGCGUAAUCACUUGUUUUUUAAUUGGGAACUGGUAUGAAAGGGUUAAUUGACCACGGUGUUUGUAAGUAAGUAGCUAAGUUUAAAGUCCAGGUAAAAAUUCUUGGAUGAGCUAAGGGACGAUAAGACCCUGGAAGCUUUAUAAACGGGAAGACAGUUGUUAUAAAGAAGAGCGGCAGUUGAUUGGGGCAAUUAAGAUAUUUAAAUUAUCUUUUUAAUAAAGAUCCUCUUGAUAGGGAGAAAAAGGGAUAGUUACUCCAGGGAUAACAGCGCAAUCAUUUUGGAGAGACCUUAUCGAUAAAGUAGUUUGCGACCUCGAUGUUGAAUUAAAGUAAUCCCCGUAGAGCAGAGACUAUGUAGGAGGGUUUGUUCAACCCUUAAAGUUUUACAUGAUCUGAGUUUCAAACCGGA
rnacentral:rRNA from 1 species